GACAGAGGGUGCAAACGUUGUUCGGAAUUACUGGGCGUAAAGCGCGUGUAGGCGGUCGUGCAAGUCGGGUGUGAAAGCCCUCGGCUCAACCGGGGAAGUGCACUCGAAACUGCAUGACUAGAGUCUCGGAGAGGAUAGUGGAAUUCUCGGUGUAGAGGUGAAAUUCGUAGAUAUCAGGAGGAACACCGGUGGCGAAGGCGCACAUCUGGCCCGAUACUGACGCUGAGGCGCGAAAGCUAGGGGAGCAAACGGG
rnacentral:rRNA from 1 species